rnacentral:rRNA from 1 species
GUGCAAGCGUUACUCGGAAUCACUGGGCGUAAAGCGCGCGCAGGCGGGCUGAUAAGCUGGAUGUGAAAUCCUACGGCUCAACCGUAGAACUGCAUCCAGAACUGUCAGUCUAGAGUCUGGGAGGGGAAGAUGGAAUUAGUAGUGUAGGGGUAAAAUCCGUAGAGAUUACUAGGAAUACCAAAAGCGAAGGCGAUCUUCUGGAACAGUACUGACGCUGAGGCGCGAAAGCGUGGGGAGCAAACAGGAUUAGAUACCCUGGUAGUCCACGCCCUAAACGAUGAAUGUUAGUCGUUGGUGUCCUAGUGACAUCAGUGAUGCAGCUAACGCAUUAAACAUUCCGCCUGGGGAGUACGGUCGCAAGAUUAAAACUCAAAGGAAUAGACGGGGACCCGCACAAGUGGUGGAGCAUGUGGUUUAAUUCGAAGAUACGCGAAGAACCUUACCUGGCCUUGACAUUGAUGGAACCUGCCAGAGAUGGCGGGGUGCCCUUUUAGGGAGCCUGAAAACAGGUGCUGCACGGCUGUCGUCAGCUCGUGUCGUGAGAUGUUGGGUUAAGUCCCGCAACGAGCGCAACCCUCGUCACUAGUUACUAACGGUUCGGCCGAGGACUCUAGUGAGACUGCCUUCGCAAGGAGGAGGAAGGUGAGGACGACGUCAAGUCAUCAUGGCCCUUACGGCCAGGGCAACACACGUGCUACAAUGGGGUGUACAAUGAGACGCGAUACCGCGAGGUGGAGCAAAUCUAUAAAGCAUCUCUCAGUUCGGAUUGUAGUCUGCAACUCGACUACAUGAAGCUGGAAUCACUAGUAAUCGUGGAUCAGCUAUGCUACGGUGAAUACGUUCCCGGGUC